GAUGAACGCUAGCGGCAGGCUUAAUACAUGCAAGUCGUGGGGCAGCAUGGGGUAGCAAUACCCUGAUGGCGACCGGCAAACGGGUGCGGAACACGUACGCAACCUUCCUUUAACUGGAGAAUAGCCCCUCGAAAGAGGGAUUAAUACUCCGUAAUAUCCCGAUAUGGCAUCAUAAUGGGAUUAUAGCUCCGGCGGUUAGAGAUGGGCGUGCGCCUGAUUAGGUAGUUGGCGGGGUAAUGGCCCACCAAGCCUGCGAUCAGUAACUGGUGUGAGAGCACGACCAGUCACACGGGCACUGAGACACGGGCCCGACUCCUACGGGAGGCAGCAGUAAGGAAUAUUGGUCAAUGGACGCAAGUCUGAACCAGCCAUGCCGUGUGGAGGAUUAAGGCCCUC
rnacentral:rRNA from 1 species